UGCGUAGGGAGCAAGCGUUGUCCGGAAUUAUUGGGCGUAAAGGGCGCGUAGGCGGGAAUUUAAGUCAGAUGUGAAAACUGAGGGCUCAACUUGGAGAUUGCACUUGAAACUGGUAUUCUUGAGGGCAGGAGAGGAAAGUGGAAUUCCUAGUGUAGCGGUGAAAUGCGUAGAUAUUAGGAGGAACACCAGUGGCGAAGGCGACUUUCUGGACUGCACCUGACGCUGAGGCGCGAAAGCGUGGGUAGCGAACGGGAUUAGAUACCCCCGUAGU
rnacentral:rRNA from 1 species